rnacentral:rRNA from 1 species
CACUCAAACCGCCAGGGAAUUACGAGCUCAAGCUUAAAACCCAAAGGACUUGACGAUGCCCCAUCCCCCUAGAGGAGCCUGUUCUAUAAUCGAUUCUCCCCGAUCCACCUCACCGCCUCUUGAAUACUCAGUCUGUAUACCUCCGUCGCAAGCUUACCAUAUGAACGUACACUCAGUGGGCUUAACGGUUUAAUACCAACACGUCAGGUCAAGGUGCAGCCUACGAAGCGGGAAGAAAUGGGCUACAAUCUCUACACUAGAACAAACGGAAGACUGUGCAAUACAGCCAUUAAAGGCGGAUUUAGCAGUAAAAAGAAAAUAGAGAGUUCUUUUUAACAAGGCCCUGGGACACGUACACACCGCCCGUCACCCUCUUCAAGUAUUACAAUAAUGUUUAUAACACCCCAUAAUUCCACAGAAGAGGCAAGUCGUAACAUGGUAAGCGUACUGGAAAGUGCGCUUGGAACAACAAAAUGUAACUUAACAAAAGUAUCUCGCUUACACCGAGAACAUGUCUGUAAAAUUCUGACCAUUUUGAGCUCAAAAUCUAGCCCUACUAAUUCAAAUGAAACAAUCUAAUUAAACCUAAAAUAUAAAACAUUUUUUUAACCAAGUAAAGGCGAUUAAAAAGUAUCUAGGAGCCUUAACACUAGUACCGCAAGGGAAAGAUGAAAUAAAAAUGAAAUAAGCUUAAAGCAU